AAAGAAGCAAUGAAGAGGAAUAGUAAGAGACGGAUGCUUUCAGAGAGCUGCCGGAGGGUGCGAGGCAGCAGGCAGAAAUCUCCCAACUCGCCUCGGAGCUCCCGGACUGAACGUGCGGCUCGAUGAAGGAAAAGUGUUUUCAGAAAGCGGCAAGUAGGUGCGGGCGGGUUUCUUCCCGUUACAGAAGCAAUGAGUGCAUGCGGCGCAUAGCCGUGUGAAAAAGAGUGGUACCACGGAAGUUAAGCCUUUUCGUCUCUUGG
rnacentral:ncRNA from 1 species